rnacentral:misc_RNA from 1 species
GAUGUUGAAUACAUCUCAACAACUUGGAUUACUCAAAUUUGAUUGCAACUCAUCAAGUCCAUGAACAAAAAAUUUUGACAUAUAAAGAGAUCACGUAACUUACAGCCUAAUACACCACAGCCAAACUUGUUUAACAGCUGCAAUAAGUAGCAGCAAAUUGCAAGCAAGCCGAUCUCUAGAAAUCCAAACGACCGUUCCCUUUAACAAUCCAGAGGUACUUUUGAUAUUCCAUAUAUUAGGUCUGUAGAUAUGGUAAUAUAAGGGUGAUUCAACAUGCAUUUUCGCGCAAUUUGAAAACUGCAUACCAGCAAUCAUAUGCUACACACUCUGUACUUUGCUUAAUAUUUCUUUAGGUUUUGCUUCAUCUUUUCCCAAUUCCUUGUUCUCAUAAUAAUCAUCCAAAGCCCACUGAUACUUCGACUGAUUUAACCCAAACCAACGUGCCAAAUGCUCAUCUAAGCUCGAAUGCGCGUUUUGCACUUUGUUCACAGCAUUUCUGAAGAAACCAGAAACGGACCCAUCUGACAAAUGCCAAGUAGAAACAGAUUUAUCUAUUUGCUGAGGAGGCGGUUGGACAGGAGGCGGAGAAACCACUUUUUUAGGGGAAUCAAAGACAGGGGGCUCCGCCGGUUUAGGGGUGGAGGGAGGGGUCUUGAAGACAGUAUAGGGCCCCAUUUUCCCGAUCAUAGGAGGAGGAGGAGGAGAUGGGUCCUUGUUGAUUGGCAUUGUGAGAGGAAAACGAUAAGGAAAGUGAUAGAAAAUGGAAGAAAAGCACCAGAGAGAGAGAGAGAGAGAGAGAGA